rfam:Myotis lucifugus cont2.46496, whole genome shotgun sequence.
GGAAGUUCUCGGGUGAUGCACCCUGGAAUCGGCUCCCUCCUCUCUGGUUCUGGGUGCAUCACCCAAGAAGCGCA